rnacentral:rRNA from 1 species
CUGCUGAUUUUUUUCAGUGACUUUCAUGCAAAUAAUGCCGAUCUCUCAGGCGUCAAUUCUGCAUCCAUUGUCUUGCUGCCUAAAAAAGAAAUUUCAAUGGAGAUUAAAGACUUCCGGCCUAUAUCCUUGGUGCAUAGCCUCCCCAAGCUAGCCACAAAAUUCCUAACUACCAGGCUGCAGCUGUGGAUACCUAAACUAGUGCACCCACUACAAUCUGGUUUCCUUGCUGGCAGAUGCAUUGUUGAAAAAAUUUCCCUCGCUGCAGAGCUUGUACAAUAUGCAAAAAGGAAGAAGAUACCAAUUGUACUGAAGCUAGACUUCAAGAAAGCUUUUGAUAGUGUUAGCUGGGACGCACUGUUUGCUGUUUUGGCCGCCAGGGGUUUUGGACAAAGGUGGAUCUUCUGGAUCAAGAACCUUCUCUACACAAGUUGGCAAGGGUUACUUUGA